GGUUGUAUAGUGUAGUCGGUUAUCACACCAGAUUUUGAUUCCUCCAGAGUUCUGGUGACCCCGGUUCGAAUCCGGGUACGACCU
rfam:Botryobasidium botryosum FD-172 SS1 unplaced genomic scaffold BOTBOscaffold_5, whole genome shotgun sequence.